UACGUAGGUGGCAAGCGUUGUUCGGAAUUACUGGGCGUAAAGGGCGCGUAGGCGGCUUGUUAAGUCGGCUGUGAAAGCCCGGGGCUCAACCCCGGAGAGUCGGCCGAUACUGGCGAGCUAGAGUACGGAAGAGGUAGCUAGAAUUCCUGGUGUAGCGGUGAAAUGCGUAGAUAUCAGGAGGAAUACCAGAUGCGAAGGCGGGCUACUGGGCCGAUACUGACGCUGAUGCGCGAAAGCCAGGGGAGCAAACGGG
rnacentral:rRNA from 1 species